CAGGCCUAACACAUGCAAGUCGAGGGGCAGCAUGAGAGUAGCUUGCUACUUUUGAUGGCGACCGGCGAAUGGGUGAGUAACGCGUAUCCAACCUGCCGCACACCCGGGAAUAGCCCUUGGAAAUGAGGAUUAAGUCCCGAUAUGCAUGGUAGUUGCAUGACUACUGUGUGAACCCAGGUAUGCGAUGGGGAUGCGUCCGAUUAGCUUGCCGGCGGGGUAACGGCCCACCGGGGCAUCGAUCGGUAGGGGUUCUGAGAGGAAGGUCCCCCACACUGGUACUGAGACACGGACCAGACUCCUACGGGAGGCAGCAGUGAGGAAUAUUGGUCAAUGGACGAGAGUCUGAACCAGCCAAGUAGCGUGCAGGAUGACGGCCCUAUGGGUUGUAAACUGCUUUUUCCGGGGAAUAACAUGUGCCACGUGUGGCACUUUGCAUGUACCCGGUGAAUAAGGACCGGCUAAUUCCGUGCCAGCAGCCGCGGUAAUACGGAAGGUCCGAGCGUUAUCCGGAUUUAUUGGGUUUAAAGGGUGCGCAGGCGGAAGUGCAAGUCAGCCGUGAAAUCGCGUGGCUCAACCACGCUGAGCGGUUGAAACUGUUCUUCUUGAGUGCGGUGAAGGAAGGCGGAAUUCGUGGUGUAGCGGUGAAAUGCAUAGAUAUCACGAAGAACUCCGAUUGCGUAGGCAGCUUUCCGUACCGUUACUGACGCUCAUGCACGAAGGUGCGGGUAUCAAACAGGAUUAGAUACCCUGGUAGUCCGCACAGUAAACGAUGGAUGCUCGCGGUUCGGCCGUUAUGGUUGUGCCGCUUAGCGAAAGCGUUAAGCAUCCCACCUGGGGAGUACGCCGGCAACGGUGAAACUCAAAGGAAUUGACGGGGGCCCGCACAAGCGGAGGAACAUGUGGUUUAAUUCGAUGAUACGCGAGGAACCUUACCCGGGCUUGAAAUGUACCUGACGGGAGGCAGAGACGCCUUCUUUCUUCGGACAGGUAUGUAGGUGCUGCAUGGUUGUCGUCAGCUCGUGCCGUGAGGUGUCGGCUUAAGUGCCAUAACGAGCGCAACCCUUCCCGCCGGUUACCAUCAUUAGGUUGGGGACUCCGGCGGCACUGCCACCGCAAGGUGUGAGGAAGGCGGGGAUGACGUCAAAUCAGCACGGCCCUUACGUCCGGGGCCACACACGUGUUACAAUGGGGGGCACAGAAAGCUGGAUGCCGGCGACGGCAUUCGAAUCAUCAAAUCCCCUCCCAGUUCGGACUGGAGUCUGCAACCCGACUCCACGAAGCUGGAUUCGCUAGUAAUCGCGCAUCAGCCAUGGCGCGGUGAAUACGUUCCCGG
rnacentral:rRNA from 1 species